GAUGAACGCUGGCGGCGUGCUUAACACAUGCAAGUCGAACGAAGCACUUUAUUUGAUUUCCUUCGGGACUGAUUAUUUUGUGACUGAGUGGCGGACGGGUGAGUAACGCGUGGGUAACCUGCCUUGUACAGGGGGAUAACAGUUGGAAACGGCUGCUAAUACCGCAUAAGCGCACAGCAUCGCAUGAUGCAGUGUGAAAAACUCCGGUGGUAUAAGAUGGACCCGCGUUGGAUUAGCUAGUUGGUGAGGUAACGGCCCACCAAGGCGACGAUCCAUAGCCGAUCUGAGAGGGUGACCGGCCACAUUGGGACUGAGACACGGCCCAAACUCCUACGGGAGGCAGCAGUGGGGAAUAUUGCACAAUGGGCGAAAGCCUGAUGCAGCGACGCCGCGUGAGCGAAGAAGUAUUUCGGUAUGUAAAGCUCUAUCAGCAGGGAAGAUAAUGACGGUACCUGACUAAGAAGCACCGGCUAAAUACGUGCCAGCAGCCGCGGUAAUACGUAUGGUGCAAGCGUUAUCCGGAUUUACUGGGUGUAAAGGGAGCGCAGGCGGUGCGGCAAGUCUGAUGUGAAAGCCCGGGGCUCAACCCCGGUACUGCAUUGGAAACUGUCGUACUAGAGUGUCGGAGGGGUAAGCGGAAUUCCUAGUGUAGCGGUGAAAUGCGUAGAUAUUAGGAGGAACACCAGUGGCGAAGGCGGCUUACUGGACGAUAACUGACGCUGAGGCUCGAAAGCGUGGGGAGCAAACAGG
rnacentral:rRNA from 1 species